GGUACAUGUGAUGAUUCUUUGGUUCGAUUAAUUGUGGAGGAUGAAAAAAAGAUUGAUCAAAUCAAGAAAUGCUUAUGGAGAUUCGGGAGGAAGCAUGUAGACUCAAAUAUGUAGUUUUCAUUUUUUAAUGCAAUGUUUAUAAUCCGGGGUACUCUUUUUUCUUUGUUUGGGGUUUUGUCCCAUUGGAUUUUCUCCAAACAAGGUUUUAAUGAGGCCCCAAAGUGUUCUUCAUUAUCUUUUGUAAAUUCUUAUAAUUUUAAUAAAAUUAAUUAGUUGAUAAUUUAUUUAUUUUUUUAUUUAAUUUGUAUAAAG
rnacentral:lncRNA from 1 species